CCUUCCUUGUGUUGCGAAAUUCGUUUUGCGAUUUUAUCUUGUCGUUUCCCGUUGGCAGCACCUCACGCGAGGAUCCCUUUCUGUCCCUUUGUUUCUAAGCCGCUCCGAGUGGCUGUGAAUGUGACCUCCUGUGAGCUGCUUCACAAAUCCCACUUCUCUUGCAACGUGUUUGAUUAAGGAUCCCUUCCAGCCGGGUCGCCGGUUCUGAGUGCAGCCGGUUCGAAUGGAACACUUAGGUGUUGACCCUAGAGUGUUCCGGGUCGCAGUUUCACGGAAACUAGGAUCCCAGAGGACUUGGCCAUCAGGAAUGGAAUUCCGGAACCGUAAAGCCGGUUCUCGCCCUCGUCGACAGACAACACUUUAAAUUUGAAGGAAUCGCCAAUUCUACUACUUCCCAAAGCAAAUACAGUCAGCUUCUGUCCCUGACGAUAUCCCCCAGCCAGUCAGCUUCCAGUGGCCAACCACGUGGAUACAGUGAUCACUGUCAGGCUUCAUUCUUAGCCUUUCUAAUAAACGUUUGAGUUUCACCUUUAAA